rnacentral:sRNA from 1 species
GCUGGACCUGGUGGCGCACACCUACAAUCCCAGCAACUUGGGAGGCUGAGGCAGGAGAAUUGCAAGUUCGAGGUCAGCCUCAGCAACUUAGCAAGACCCUGUCUCAA